UUGACCUUUACACCCUUCUGUGUAUUUUACCUGUUUUUGGAUGAUGGAAUUAGUAAAAUAUUCCAUAGAACAAAUAUUUUAAACUAUUAUUCAUAAUGAUAUUAGUCUGAUUUUGUAUAAAUAAAAGUUAAAACUUUCAACAACGGAUCUCUUGGUUCUCGCAUCGAUGAAGAACGCAGCGAAAUGCGAUAAGUAGUGUGAAUUGCAGAAUUCAGUGAAUCAUCGAAUCUUUGAACGCACAUUGCGCCUUCUAGUAUUCUGGGAGGCAUGCCUGUUUGAGCGUCAUUAAAUCUUACUCUAGCAGUUUUGCUUGGAUAUGAAGGAAGAGUAUAUAAAGGCUCUCCUUUGAAAUGUAUUAGUAGAUGUAAAGUUGUGAAUUACACUGUUUUGAUGUAAUAGUCUUUAUUGGUUGUGAUUUGUAUACAACUAUAUCUUGCUUUAACAUAUUUUUUUUUUUUAUGGUUGACCUCAAAUCAGGUAGGGAUACCCGCUGAACUUAAGCAUAUC
rnacentral:misc_RNA from 1 species